rnacentral:lncRNA from 10 species
GGACCCAGGUGGCUGGGGUGGCAGCUGAUCAUGUCAGGAGGACUCCUCUGCACAACAUCACAAGCACAGGAGAGAAUGCUAAACUUGAUUGGGAGCUCACAGAAGACCCCUGGAACCCAGAGCAAUAAGGGAAAUUUGGACCCAGAGAUACAUUCAGAGAGAAGAUGAUGUGAAGGCACAGGAAGGAUGCCCUGUGAACAUCAGGACCAAUGCCUGCAAACCUAGGAGAGAGGUCUACAACAGAUCCUUCCCUCGCAGCCCUCAGAUCGAACUGACCCUGCAAGUACCUUGAUUUUGGACUUCUGGCUUCCAGAACUGAGCAACAAUAACUUUCUGUUGAAGCCGUCCAGUUUUGAAGCCACCCAGUCUGUGGUGCUUGGUUACCGCGGCCCUAGCAAACUUGCCUGAGGCUUUCCAAAUCACAGCCCCGUUUUGUCACAGGGGAAGAAUUCUAAGAAGUUCUUUAUUUGGCCAAGUGAGGGAUAGAAGAAUAAUGAGCAUUUCCCUCAUCACAGCUCUGACAACUGCCUCAGCCACACACGGCUUAGGAGAUUGGCCACUUCCUCCGCCUUCAGCUUGCAGGGGGCUUCAGUAAUAAAUGUGUAGAAGUGUUUGGUCUUCUCAAUGCUGGGAAUCCAGGGAGUAUGGCCUGGCAUACAUGGAAACCAGUCCCCUAAAGACCUCAUUGACACAGGCCUCAUUUGGGGGUCUCCUCAGGCACUUCCCCCUUGGCUCCUGAGGCCAGAACCCGACCCUGCUGUGUCUCUCUUCCAUGCAUCUUUUUGCCAUCUCUGCUCUCUGGAAUCUGCAACAAUAUGAGGGUGCUCAGGACUUUGAUGUUGCUACUGACCUCAGCAUGCCCCAGUCCAAACCUACCUUCUUCCUCCUGGGCCCACAUCCGCUUCUGCUCCCCACUUCCCCAGUGUCUUCAUUCUUUUCAUCACAUGCUGACCAAAGACUCAUCUUUAGGCACUCUCUAUGUCCCUUCUGCUACAUCCACUCUGUUGCCACAUCUCCUGAAUUCUUCUGUCUGAUUUCUUCUCACUCUUCCUUUCCACCCUGGAUCAGUCCAUUGGGGCCGCAUGUCAGGACACCGGAUGACACUGUUUGGACACCUGGAAGGAUCGGGUAAAAGAUACAGAGAAGUCUAAGGAGGGAUAGGGUGAGUCUGGGAUGGGCUGUGGAUUAGGCACCAGGUAAAGCUAAUUGGGGGGUGGGUGAGGAAUGGGGUGAGGGUAUCUAUUGCAUCUAUUUUAUGGUAAUAAAAGGAAGUUGAAAGUUC